CAGAACACAAUACAAGACCACCUAGACCUAAUACAAUAUCUCAUAAAACAAGUAUUAGGAAAUUUCUCAGAAAUGUUUGGCGCAAAAUCGAAGCUGAGAUUGAUGGAAAAGAAUACAAGAAUACGGAUGACAAUGGAGAUCACUAUUUCUGUAAGUGACUAUGUUUGCAAGUGAAAUUGUGUAAUUCAAUAACAAUUUUCAUAUGCGCAUUUUAAUAGAUAAUUUGAUAUUUCAUUAAUAAAUAUUAAAGUUAC